AUCAGACACGGUGUCAGCCGCCGCGGUAAUACGUAGGUGGCAAGCGUUGUCCGGAAUUAUUGGGCGUAAAGCGCGCGCAGGUGGUUCCUUAAGUCUGAUGUGAAAGCCCACGGCUCAACCGUGGAGGGUCAUUGGAAACUGGGGAACUUGAGUGCAGAAGAGGAAAGUGGAAUUCCAAGUGUAGCGGUGAAAUGCGUAGAGAUUUGGAGGAACACCAGUGGCGAAGGCGACUUUCUGGUCUGUAACUGACACUGAGGCGCGAAAGCGUGGGGAGCAAACAGGAUUAGAUACCCUGGUAGUCCACGCCGUAAACGAUGAGUGCUAAGUGUUAGGGGGUUUCCGCCCCUUAGUGCUGCAGCUAACGCAUUAAGCACUCCGCCUGGGGAGUACGGCCGCAAGGCUGAAACUCAAAGGAAUUGGCGGG
rnacentral:rRNA from 1 species